rnacentral:rRNA from 1 species
AGAGUUUGAUCCUGGCUCAGGAUAAACGCUGGCGGCGUGCUUUAUGCAUGCAAGUCGAACGGUCCUUUCUGCAAGGGAAGGAUAGUGGCAAACGGGUGAGUAACACGUAAGUAACCUGCCCCCAAGUAGGGGACAACUCUGAGAAAUCGGAGCUAAUACCGUAUGUGGUGCUGGAGGUAAUGCUCCAUUACUAAAGCCUUCGGGUGCUUGGGGAGGGGCUUGCGUCCGAUUAGCUAGUUGGUAGAGUAAUGGUUUACCAAGGCGGUGAUCGGUAGCUGGUCUGAGAGGAUGUUCAGCCACACUGGGACUGAGACACGGCCCAGACUCCUACGGGAGGCAGCAGCAAGGAAUUUUGUGCAAUGGGCGAAAGCCUGACACAGCGACGCCGCGUGGGGGAUGAAGGCCUUCGGGUUGUAAACCCCUUUUCCUAGGGACGAAUAAUGACGGUACCUGGGGAAUAAGCUUCGGCCAACUACGUGCCAGCAGCCGCGGUAAUACGGAGGUGGCGAGCGUUACUCGGAUUUAUUGGGUGUAAAGGGCAGGUAGGCGUUUCGCCAAGUUAGAAGUGAAAUCCUUUGGCUCAACCAAAGAACUGCUUCUAAAACUGGCGGAAUUGAGGCUGAAAGAGGAGAGCGGAAUUCCCGGUGUAAGGGUGAAAUCUGUAGAUAUCGGGAGGAGCACCAGUGGCGAAGGCGGCUCUCUGGUUCAGCCCUGACGCUGAGCUGCGAAAGCUAGAGUAGCAAACAGGAUUAGAUACCCUGGUAGUCC